rnacentral:lncRNA from 1 species
UUUUUUUUUUUUUUUUUUUUUUUGGUCUUUUCUAGGGCUGCAUCUGUGGCAUAGGGAGGUUCCCAGGCUAGGGGUCUAAUUGGAGCUGUAACCGCUGGCCUACUCCAGAGGCACAGCAACGCGGGAACCAAGCCGCAUCUGCAACCUACACCACAGCUCAUGGCAACGCCGGAUCUUUAAUCCACUGAGCGAGGCCAGGGAUCGAACUUGCAACCUCAUGGGUCCUAGUUGGAUUGGUUAACCGCUGAGCCACCACAGGAACUCCUCUCCUGUUACUCUUGAUUUUGCACAUUGGGAUCCUGUUCAAUACACUUCGCUGCAUUUGAAACCCCUCCCAGUCAAUGGGGGCAUGCUUUUUGAAAGGCUGCAUGACAUUCCACACUGGGGAGAGAGGCAUGGCUGUGCUCACACCUACACCCCGCCUGCUGGGCACGGGCCUGGCCGUCUCAGUUCCAGAUCCACUAGAGACCACGGUGCUGUAAGCGCCCCUGAACGCAUACCCAUCCUUCCUUUCUUGAGCUUUGAUUGUAACAGGCUGAAUUUCUACCUCUUUUGCCUCAGGGAAGAAAACCAAGAGAUAUAGAUGGAGGGGGUUUGCCUGGAAUCACACAUCCAAUAAGUGUUCAAAGCAAGUGCACUGGAUGCUGUAUCACAUACUCUUUAUUCCACCAGACACUCUGUCCUUCUUCUAGCCUUACUGCUAGAAAUGUUUCUUUCCAUCAGAUUCAGUAAAGGCUUGCCCUGAAAUCCUUCCUCCCCUGGGACAGAGGUGGUCAAGUGCCUGGCUGUCACAGAACAUCUUGGUGGCUCUGGGUGGAGGGAAUUCAAUGCAGACGAGGCAUUCAGGGCUGCUGCUAGUGCCAGCAUGUAGCAAGCACUUGGGGAAGUCGUGCUAAAAAUACUACAUCUGCUCAAUAAAUGGGUAUUGAAUGCCGACAGUGUUCCAGGCUGGCAGGCGACAGACUUUGUUCAGCCCUGUUCUAAGAUGGCAGGAACAGCCUUGGGCCUCAUUCAUUUCCAUCUUGGAGGCUUACUGGCUGGGCCUGGAGUCCCUGGGGUUGUUAUCAAGGGGAUUCAAGGUCCCCCAGACAGGUCAGACCAGACUGGCCACAAAAUUCUGUGGCCCUGCCUCAUGAGCCACACUGUCCUCAUCUGUGGACUGGGAAGGGGAGAGGGUAAAAACUGGACUUGAGGGACCUUGGACUUCAAACCUGCCAUGUCACCAGUGGGAGUAAGGUACAGAACUGCAAAGGGAUAUUUCCAAAGUGUCCCAGGAGCUGGUGAUGGGGUUGGGGCACAAGUCCCUUCUGGGGGGCUUCUAGCCUUAUUGUUCUUUGUUCUGUGCUGCUGCCAUUUCAACCCUGUGCACAUGUGUGCCCGUUUUCUUUUCCUCUCUACAAACCUGGAUGAAAUACACACUGAUGAAAACUGUGGGCUGUGAGAACAGGCAGGCCUGAGUUUGAGUCUUAGCCUCCUACCCAUACAGUGACCUCAGAAAAUUAUUUAACCUCUGUGGGUUCAUAACAAUGGCCAGUCCCCCAGAGUUCUGAGAAUUCCAUGAAACAAUGACUUGAAAGGGCCUAGCAGGAAGCCAACCACAUAGUAUGCACUCACUAAAUGCUGAUCAUGUCUUUUAGUUCCCAUUUGCAUCUUUGAAUUCUUGCAGAACCUCUCUGCAAUUCCCAGAGUCUCCAGUACAACUUGUUUUCCCCAAACAAUAGCUCUCUUGACGUCUGAGGAGAAUGGGGGCCUCUGUGAAGCUCUUCCAAACCCUCUAUUGCGGGCUUUCAUCCACUGAACCCCUGAGGAAUUGUCGGCCUGCACUUAACUUCUCCAGAAGCAAGACUCUGCUGAUCCCUUUCUGCUGAACAGCAAUGAACUUGUCAAGAGACCAGCCAGGAGGGAGGUGGUGAAGGGGCAGGAGCAGGGCAGGCAGGUGUACAAGCCAGCGAGGAGGGCUGGGGCCAUCCAUCUUGAUUCUUUUCUCCGUGUCCAAGUGUAAAGGGAUUUGUGUCUACAAGGCUGUCUUCGCCAACCUCAGGGAAGAAGAGAAGUUGUUUAAUUGGAAAGUUUUACUUCUACCACAGAGGAAGAUUCUGGGACAAUUAGGGAUAUUGUAAUUUCUUAUUAAGGUCAAAAAGAAAUGAUAGGUAGAGCCCAUGAGUCACUUUCCAACAUGGUGAGAAAUGGAGUUGCUGGGUGACUGGGUGCGAGUGAGCCUGCGUGCCCCCAGUCUUAACGAUGUGGAGGGGGGGCUGUGGGAAGGGCGCUGGCUGCCUCCUUCCUGCCUCUGGAAUGCUCACCUUUUUGGAAACCCAAUAAAAUUAAUUCCAAGCUCAGAUUAUUAAUUCGUCCUGGUGUGUGAAUAAUUCAUUGUGGCAGAAGCCCUGUCACAUCUUCACGUUUUGGAGCGCAUAGCCUCUCCCGCUCUUGCCUUCGGAGAGAUGACUUUCCCUUCUAACCUGCCCAAGUGUGAGAGGGACCAAGCACUCAGCCAUCAAUUCCCCAAGGAGGUCUGAGCCCUGAUUUGAGCCUGAUGCCUAUUUCGAAUCCAGCAGCCAGAGUGUAGGUGGCUGCAGUGAACUGAGGCGACCUGCUGAAGUCAGGAUGCUUCUUAAGGACCAGGGGGACUUGCUCGCCAGGCUCAUGGCUGCACAAGGAUGUAAAAGGAAUUCCUGUCGUGACCAAACGCCACUGCCCAUUACAGUGAGGUCCUCUGAGAGGACCUCCAUUGGCCUGCCCAUCAAUUAUGCAUUUCCCCAGCACACCUUCCAGGCCAGCUUCUCGUGUCAGGAUUGUUCCCUGACUGCUCCCCUCUGAGCAAGUGUCUCCACUCUGCUCCUGGGGAAGAGAUAAGAGAUGAGGCACUACCAGCUGAUAGCCUCCAGGGAGCCCAGUGCCAAAGCCUAAGUGGAACAAGGGAAGGGAUGAGUGGGUCCAGAAGCUUCUCUCUUGAACAGGAAUAAGGAGCAUGGGCCAUCCUCUGUUAAACCAGUGGCUCUGGGGAUCUUUCUUGCUUUGAACACAUGUUGUCACUGAACUGUGUGCUUACAAAGGACCCUGGGAUGCAGACGGGUGAGCAAGCUGCCCUUCUGAUAGAUGAGGCAUCUGCCACUUGAAGAGGCACAGGCAGUGUGUAGCUUUGCCUGGCAGGUUCUGGUCGGGCUUGAAAUAGUCCCUAAUCUGGUGGGCAAAUAAUUCUCGUAUCUCUUCUUUUACCAAGGAGGAUGCUCACCCCAACCCUGCGUAUUCGUUACCCGCACUCAGGACAGGAGUCCUGGCCACCGCUUGGAUCUGGUUCUUGGGCUAAGGAGCUUCUGCUCUGAGCUGGCAGCAGACACCCAAUAAGGUCUCAGUGACAGGGCCCUGCUAAGGGAUAAGGAAGAUACGUGAGGACCCAGGGAAGAGCAGCCUGCUGGUAAGUCCCGGCAUCCUUCUCUGUGUAGUGCUCCAUUCCUCCCUCUCUCACUAAGUUGAGUUCCUGCCCCCAGGACCCUCUCUCUGCCCAGCGUGUCCUCUUCCACAGCUGUGCGCAUGGCUGGCUCUUUUCACCCCCUGAUCUUUCCCCCGUCCCUUCAUCUAAACCAGCUCCCAUUUGACAUCUUUCUUCCAGAGCACUGAUCACAAUUUGUAACUGAUUCUUAUUCAUGCUGUCUCUCUACCAGACUACAAGUUCCUCAAGGGCAAGGACCACGUCUGAUGAAUGUCCCACUGCAGCCCAUCCCACAGCACAGCUGUAUCGUGAUAAAAGCAGAACGAGAGAAUAAAUGAAGGAAUGCAAGGCAGACCCCAAGGAAAGCCAAUGGAGAGGUAAAACCAAGCAGCCCCUGGAGGCCUGAGGAGAGGGUGCUAUCUCCAUCUGGGGGAUCUAGGAUGACUUCCUGGAGGAGGUGGCAUUGGAACUUUGGGGAUUCUCUGGCUGUGAAUUCAGAGGGUUCUCCUGCCUCAUUUAGACAUUCAAAGACGACUUACUAAUUAACAACUGGAGAAAGAAUUCUGCAUGCAGACUGUUUGUACCUUAGCCGAGUGUCCCCAAACUUGGGAAACACAGUAGCACUUUAUGUAGGUUUCCAGUUGAGCCUGGAAUCAGCGUGAAUUGUUGGGAGGGGUUUGGGGAGUAGGGUAGACAGGCACAGGCUCUGCAGAGCCUGGCACCACACCCCUCUCUCUUCCCUUCAGAGCACAUCUUUCCAGAGACCAUCACAUUUGAUCUUGCCGAUUAUUUGGUCAACCUCUUUUCUCUGGGCAGCGCUGAUGGGGAACAACAUAUGCUUGGCCUUCUGCCUUCCUCUCCUAUACACACCCCUACACACACCCACAUCACACCCAUUUAUCUCCAUGACAACAAGGGGAGAGAGCGUGGCCUGAUGCUUCCAGGCCUCAAUACGCGGACUUAGAGCCUAGAGACUUAGCAGUUCUGGCCCUGCAGCCUCACAAAGAAGGACUAGAGUGAUUGCAGAGGCCAGGCAUGGAGAAGGGAGGGCUUUGGGGUUGCUUGUGCCCUCAGAGAGGAGGGGUCAUUGCCCUGGGAGCCCUACUGCUGGCCGUUUCCUGAUGAAGAGGUUGGUCAUUUUGCCCCCAAACACCCUCAUCCCUUGUCAGGGAUAAGCAGCGUUUGGGGGAAGGAGGGCCGGCUUUGUAUCCAAUCCCAGCUCUACCAUUUCCCUCUUCUUGUGAGUUCUCUGAACCUCUGGAUCUGCAUCUAUAAAAGGACAACUCCUUGAAAGGACUUCUGUGACUUCUAGAAAUUGGCAUUAAAAAAAAAAAUCUAUCAACGCCUCUGUUUUAGAAACUAACCAAAUGAGAUUGGUCAAAAUCAGAGAUAGGGUGUGAGGGGUGGAGAACGUGCAAACCGGCAAAAUAGGGAAACAACUAGUCAGUCUAAUUAAGAAAAAGAGUAGAGACAAAACAAUACCAAAAUUAGGAGUGGGAAAGGGAAUAUGGCCAUUGGUAUUACACAGAGGAUGUUAUAAAACUAAUAUGAGGAUAUAUGAACCAACUCUGUAAAAUAUGUUGAAGACAAGAUCAAAUGCAUAUUUUUCUAUGAAAACAUAUACUUAACUUUAAAAAUGGCAGUUUCAGACUUCCCUUGUGGCUCACAACAUAACUGCAUAGCGUUGCUUCUACAGUGGCUGUGGCUUAACUCUUGGCUCGGGUAUUUCAUAUGCCACAGGUGUGGCCACUUGUUUAAAAAAUAAAAUAAAAAAAUUUUAAAUGACAAGUUCAUCAGAGCAAAACCCUGGGAGAAAGUGGAAGAAAAAGUCAAUGAAUUACAUCUCCAACUAAUUUGCAUCCGUGUAGGAAAACAGGCUAAAAUAGUUUCACAGACUGCUUCUUUUUUUUUCUCUUCAAAAUUUCAAGGAGUUAAUCAUUACCAAGCUAUACAAAGUAUUCCAGAAUGUUUUUUUAAUAAAUCAAUACCUAAUUCAUUUUACAAGUUAGAAUAUUGCUAAUAAUCAUGUUUGACAACGAUAAUAUCCAAAAAAUAAAUCUACAAGAUAUCACCAGUGGAUUUACAUGUAAAGAUUCUAAAUAAAGUAUGCAUAUAUAUCAAAUUUCUGAAGUGUAUUAAAAGGAUAAUAUACUAUGAUUAAGUAGGGUAUAAUCUGGGUAUGGUAGGUUUAAAAAUCAAUCAACAUAAUUUAUCAAGUUAAAAAUAGUAAAGUAUUGAGUUCCCCAAAGAAGAUACACGAAUGGCCAAUAGGCACAUGAAAACAAGCUCAUCCUUUCUUAUAAUAUUAAGGAAAUGAAGAUUAAAAUCAAAGUGUUAUAUCACUACAUAUCUACUAGAAUGGCUCUAAUUAAAAAGACUGGCAAUACCACAUGUUGAAAAGAAUGGAGAAACAAGAAGCUUCUUAGAUCAUUGUCAGAAUAUAAAAUGGUACCGCCGCUUUGGAAAACAGCUGGACCGCUUCCUAAUCAGACCACACAGACCAACAAUUCUACUCCUGGAUGUCUACCUAAGUGAAAUGAAAACAAAGAGCCACUCAAAGACUUGCAUAAGGCAGUUCAUAGCAACAUGACCUACAAUAGCUCAAAACUGGAGACCGCUAGAAUGUCCAUCAGCUAGUGACUGGAUGAACAAACUGGUGUGUUCGGACCGGAGGAACAUUCUUAAGGAUAAAAAAAGAAUGAACAUCUGACACAGGUGACAACAUGGCGAACCUCAGACGUGUUACGUUAAGUGAAAGACGGCAGACAGCAGAUAGAAGACUCUACGUUGCAGGAUGCCAUUUAUAUGAAAUUUCUAGAAAAGAGGCAGAAAGAGAGAGAAAGCAGAUCAGUGUUCACCUGGGGCUGGGGGUGAGAGCAGAGGCUGCCUAGAAACAGAUGCCGUUGAGGAGGUGAUGGAAGUCUUCUAAAGCCUGAUUGUGGUGAUACCUUCCCAGCUGUAAACAUUUCCUAAAACUCAUCAAUCUAUACACUUAAAAUGAGUGAAUUUCAUGGCAUGCAAAUUAUAUUCCAAAAAAAGCUGUUUUUCAAUGUUUCUGAAAGGACAGGUAACAAACUGGUAAGUUGUUACCUCUGAGGGACAAAAUCAAAGGCCACAUGUUUGUUUUGUUCUUGGGUGGCUUCUACGUUUUCCUCUCCAUCAGUGGGUAUUACCUUCGUAAUAUCAAAAAUUCCCUCCAGAAAAUACAGUUCCCCAAAUAGCUCUUCACAUGGAGUGGGUGCCUGAGAAAUAGAAGGUUCCCUUUUGUUCAAAAAUCUGUCUUCUUAGGGCCAUGUACUGUCCAGCCCUCACUCUGAGCCAUCCUUCCUGUUCCAGGACAGGGUCAGGGCCCAUCCACCCUUCUGUUGGACCCUCCCAUUCUGCUCCCCAGUGACUUAAGAUAUACACAGGACAUCCCUCUUUAGGGAGAUUUUCCACUGUGGGUGGGUCGUGCCCAACCUGAGCUGGAAUCUGAUUCCGCAUGCUUCCUGCUUUAUCAGGAAUCGUUACAGCAACAGUCACUCACAAUUUGGGUGGCAUGUUGCAAUAGAUAAAGCAUUUUCCUUUUUUCUAAAGUUAUCUUUACACAAGUGUGGCAAGGCCACGAAGACACAGCGGCUCAGCCAUGCACAGUGCCCGCUCAAGCAAGUGGCAAGACGGCCUGACUCCAGAGCCUGCACUUCGGGAUUCGCACGACCUCUGGUUCUGGUCCUCCAUCCCAACCCAAGAGGCUGGCGAUGUUUGCUCCCAGUUUGCAGCUGCACAGACUGCACUCUACCUGUCGUAUCCAAGAGCCUCUAUUUGCUGUGACAUUAUAGUUGCUUCGGGGAAAAUAGCAGCGUUGUUAUGACUCCGGCUGGGGAAGGAGCCGUGGGAGCCAGGAGUCACUGGGAGGAAAGCCGUGUGGAGCAGAGUAAAAGAGGUCCAGAAAUCUGCAGAGGAAUUCCCUUGGGUCUUCAGGAGUACAGGGCCUUGCUGAGCAUCAAACUCCACAACAUCAGGUAACCAACGAAUGGGGGGAUAGUUCCCAGUAUUUACCCAGGGCGGGGAGAUCACAGGAAUGAAGAGUCCUCAGCAGUCACAUUGGUAUUUGGUGGGACCCCAGAGGGGUCACAUCCAGUAUAUUCAGCUGAACUAUCCCUAGAGUGAAGGCUAUGCCAGAUCUGAUCCAGCAACUCUCAGAAAUAGGCUGAAUGUGAUCAAAUAACCCAUAAGUAACUUAACUGCUUUUCAGAACAAAAGUCCAACUACUUUUAAAAGAAGACGACAAAAUCCAGACACUUCAACAACAUAACAUUCACUGUAUCCAUCAUCCACUAAAAAUCACCAGACUACCAAGAAACAGGAAGAGAAGCAGACUGUAUGGAAGGAGAGCCUGUCCAUACAAAGGGAUGAGAAAUAGUGGAGAUGAGGGAACUGGCCGAGAAGGAUGUUAAACGAUUAUCGUAGUCAGACAUUUCAGGGAAAGUAGGAACAACGAGAGAAUUGGGAAAUAGAAAGAAGAGCAAAUGGAACAUCUAGAGAUUAAAAAAAUACAGUAUCCAAAAUGAAUGUUCCACCGGAUGAGACUGACAAUCUGUUAGAUACUGUAGGGAAAGAGAUCAGCGAACUUGAAAACUUGGCAAAUGAAUUUAUGCACAAUGAAGCACAGAUACUGAAAAAGAGCAAAACCUCAAUGAGCUAUGGGCUAAUAUCAAACAGCCAAACAGAAGCAUGAAAGGGAGGGAGGCAAAACAAUAUAUG